rnacentral:rRNA from 1 species
UACGGGGGGAGCAAACGUUGUUCGGAAUCACUGGGCGUAAAGGGCGCGCAGGUGGCCCGGUAAGUGGUGUGUGAAAUCCCCUGGCUCAACCAGGGAAAUGCGCUCCAAACUGUCGGGCUUGAGGGCAGUAGAGGAAACUGGAAUUCCUGGUGUAGCGGUGAAAUGCGUAGAUAUCAGGAGGAACACCGUUGGCGAAGGCGAGUUUCUGGGCUGUCCCUGACACUGAGGCGCGAAAGCUGGGGGAGCAAACAGG